rnacentral:rRNA from 1 species
AUUGAACGCUGGCGGCAGGCCUAACACAUGCAAGUCGAGCGAGCGGCGGACGGGGGAGUAAUGUCUGGGAAACAGCCGGUUGGAGGGGGAUAACUACUGGAGACGGUAGCUAAAACCGCAUACGAUCAGAUGUGUCCAGAGGGGGUUAGCGGGUGGGGGGGGUAACGGCUCACCAAGGCGCCGAUCCCUAGCUGGUCUGAGAGGAUGACCAGCCACACUGGAACGGAGACACGGUCCAGACUCCUACGGGAGGCAGCAGUGGGGAAUAUUGCACAAUGGGCGCAAGCCUGAUGCAGCCAUGCCGCGUGUGUGAAGAAGGCCUUCGGGUUGUAAAGCACUUUCAGCGGGGAGGCGUUACCCGCAGAAGAAGCACCGGCUAACUCCGUGCCAGCCGCCGCGGUAAUUC